rnacentral:rRNA from 1 species
AACACAUGCAAGUCGAACGAAGGCUUCGGCCCUAGUGGCGCACGGGUGCGUAACGCGUGGGAAUCUGCCCUUAGGUGCGGAAUAACAGUUAGAGAUGACUGCUAAUACCGCAUAAUGACUCCGGUCCAAAGAUUUAUCGCCUAAGGAUGAGCCCGCGUAGGAUUAGCUUGUUGGUGAGGUAAAAGCUCACCAAGGCGACGAUCCUUAGCUGGUCUGAGAGGAUGAUCAGCCACACUGGGACUGAGACACGGCCCAGACUCCUACGGGAGGCAGCAGUGGGGAAUAUUGGACAAUGGGCGAAAGCCUGAUCCAGCAAUGCCGCGUGAGUGAUGAAGGCCUUAGGGUUGUAAAGCUCUUUUACCCGGGAAGAUAAUGACUGUACCGGGAGAAUAAGCCCC